CCGCUGAAACAAGGGAACGUCUGGCUGCCUCCACGAAAGCAUGCGAACACCGGCUGUUCGGGAGAUUGAGAGCAUACAAAAGACUUAACCCAGAUAGCCCUCCCAUGGAGUCAUUCGUAUACCGAAAGACUGUAAGAACUUUGACUCCAUGGCGAUUGAACUAUGUGUGUGGGAUCUGAGCGCUAUUCGCUAAUAAUAUGCACUCAGAUCCAGGCUAUCUG